rnacentral:ncRNA from 1 species
ACCCAUCAUUAAGAGAGGACUGACGUCCCGCCAACCUGCCUUUUCCGGCAAGGUGGUAGCCUUAGUUAGGCGAUGAGACCCUUGGGUAACUAAUGGAUCAUCA